UAUCCUGAGUAGCGCGGAACAUGUGAAAUUCUGUGUGAAUCUGCCAGAACCAUCUGGUAAGGCUAAAUAUGUUGAGAGACCGAUAGUGAACAAGUACCGUGAGGGAAAGGUGAAAAGUACCCUGAAAAAGGGAGUGAAAUAGUACCUGAAACCUACUGUCUACAAGCGGUCGGAGCCUUCGGGCGACGGCGUGCCUUUUGCAUAAUGAUCCUACGAGUUACUCCUCUCUAGCAAGGUUAAGGGCUUCAGGUCCGUAGCCGAAGCGAAAGCAAGUCUUAAAUAGGCGUAUAGUUAGGGGGGGUAGACGCGAAACCUGGUGAUCUACCCAUGGUCAGGUUGAAGCCUCGGUAAUACGAGGUGGAGGACCGAACCCGGAGACGUUGAAAAGUCUUGGGAUGAACUGUGGGUAGGGGUGAAAGGCCAAUCAAACUGGGAAAUAGCUCGUUCUCCCCGAAAUGCAUUUAGGUGCAGCCUCGGAGUCGAGUGUCAUAGAGGUAGAGCUACUGAUUGGGCUAGGGGGCUUCACCGCCUACCAAACCCUAAUAAACUCCGAAUGCUAUGACAUAUAUCCGGGAGUGAGGGCAUGGGUGCUAAGGUCCAUGUCCGAGAGGGAAAGAACCCAGACUAUCUGCUAAGGCCCCCAAAUUCGGGCUAAGUUCAUCAAACGUGGUGUGGUUGCAUUGACAGCUAGGAUGUUGGCUUGGAAGCAGCCAUUCAUUUAACGAGUGCGUAACAGCUCACUAGUCGAGCGACCAUGCGUGGAUAAUAAUCGGGGAUAAGCCCGGUGCCGAAGCAGUAGAUUUAUGGUAGGGGAGCAUUCUAGCGGCGCUGAAGGUGUGGCGUGAGCCAUGCUGGAGCUUCUAGAAAAGAAAAUGUAGGAAUGAGUAACGACAAAGCGGGCGAGAAACCCGCUCACCGUUAGGCUAAGGUUUCCUGAUCAACGCUAAUCGGAUCAGGGUUAGUCGGGACCUAAGGGGAACCCGAAAGGGGUACUCGAUGGAAAACAGGUUAAUAUUCCUGUACCUGCUACACAUUAAAAGUGACGGAGACAUGUAGUGUUUACGUGCUGACGGAAUAGCACGUUGAGCCGAGCCUUCUGGGCGAAGCGAAAGCAUGAACUGGCUUCCAAGAAAAGCGAGUGUAGCGGCCCGUACCGCAAACCGACACAGGUAGCCAAGGAGAGUAUCCUAAGGUGCUCGAGUGAUUCAUGGUUAAGGAACUAGGCAAAUUGGUCUCGUAACUUCGGAAGAAGAGACGCUCUUCGGAGCCGCAGUGAAUAGGCCCAAGCGACUGUUUAUCAAAAACACAUGGCUUUGCUAAAUCGAAAGAUGACGUAUAAGGCCUGACACCUGCCCGGUGCUGGAAGGUUAAGGGGAGAUGUUAGCUUCGGCGAAGCAUUGAACUGAAGCCCCAGUAAACGGCGGCCGUAACUAUAACGGUCCUAAGGUAGCGAAAUUCCUUGUCGGGUAAGUUCCGACCUGCACGAAUGGUGUAACGAUUUGGGCACUGUCUCAACCAUGAGCUCGGUGAAAUUGUAGUAUCGGUGAAGAUGCCGAUUACCCGCAACGGGACGAAAAGACCCCGUGAACCUUUACUAUAGCUUUGCAUUGACAUUGAUUAUUUGAUGUGUAGGAUAGGUGGGAGACUUUGAAGUGGCGUCGCCAGGCGUUGUGGAGUCAUCCUUGAAAUACCACCCUUUACAUAGUUGAUGUCUAACUCCUUCGAGGACAGUGCAUGGUGGGUAGUUUGACUGGGGUGGUCGCCUCCAAAAGAGUAACGGAGGCUUCUAAAGGUACCCUCAGUACGGUUGGUAAUCGUACGUAGAGUGCAAUGGCAUAAGGGUGCUUGACUGCGAGACUUACAAGUCGAACAGGUACG
rnacentral:rRNA from 1 species